GUCUCUUAGAGCACAACCGAUAAAAUUGGAACAAAUACAAAGAAGAUUAGCAUGGCUCCUAAGAAAGGAUGACACACACAAGACUAGAAAUAGUUCAACAUUUUU